CAACUACAGACCCUGAUACAACUUGCUCUGUGACGUCACCCGUAGCCUCUGCAUAUGAGGUCAGGAAAGUGACGUCACCGGCGAAUCCUCAACAACCUGAGUUUGAAGUUUGGAUCAAAAUCACCGUAACUCAAGCAUCUAUCGACUUCAACGACCAGACCGUUCCGUUGCCGUUAACGAUAAAAUGUACUGACGGAUACGUCGCGAAUGAUAUCACGGGAACGUUUAACGUCAAUAUUGUCGACGAGCCCCCAGUGAUAACCUUACUACCCUCUACCGGAACUUCCAUCAACGAUGGUUUGCAGGCGGCCGCGGCGACCAUCCAUACGUUCAACGUCACCGACAGCGACGACGUUGUCACGUGCUCCACACGAGCGCCGGAAUCCACC